rnacentral:rRNA from 1 species
GUGGGGAAUAUUGGGCAAUGGGCGAAAGCCUGACCCAGCGACGCCGCGUGAAGGAAGAAGGCCUUCGGGUUGUAAACUUCUUUGACGAGGGACGAAGGAAGUGACGGUACCUCGAAAACAAGCCACGGCUAACUACGUGCCAGCAGCCGCGGUAAUACGUAGGUGGCGAGCGUUGUCCGGAUUUACUGGGUGUAAAGGGCGCGUAGGCGGGAUUGCAAGUCAGGCGUGAAAUACCGGGGCUUAACCUCGGGGCUGCGCUUGAAACUGUGAUUCUUGAGUGCCGGAGAGGCAGGCGGAAUUCCUAGUGUAGCGGUGAAAUGCGUAGAUAUUAGGAGGAACACCAGUGGCGAAGGCGGCCUGCUGGACGGUAACUGACGCUGAGGCGCGAAAGCGUGGGGAGCAAACAGGAUUAGAAACCCGAGUAGUCC